rnacentral:rRNA from 1 species
AACGAACGCUGGCGGCAGGCUUAACACAUGCAAGUCGAGCGCCCCGCAAGGGGUGCGGCAGACGGGUGAGUAACGCGUGGGAAUCUACCCAUCUCUACGGAAUAACGCAUGGAAACGUGUGCCAAUACCGUAUACGUCCUUCGGGAGAAAGAUUUAUCGGAGAUGGAUGAGCCGGCGUUGGAUUAGCUAGUUGGUGGGGUAAAGGCCUACCAAGGCGACGCUCCAUAGCGGGUCUGAGAGGAUGAUCAGCCACACUGGGACUGAGACACGGCCCAGACUCCUACGGGAGGCAGCAGGGGGGAAUAUGGGACAGUGGACUCGAGCCUGAUCCGGCCAUGCCGCGUGAGGGAUGAAGGCCCUAGGGUUGUAAAGCGCUUUCACCGGUGAAGAUAAUGACGGUAACCGGAGAAGAAGCCCCGGCUAACUUCGUGCCAGCAGCCGCCGUAACAC